rnacentral:misc_RNA from 1 species
CCCGAUGCGGCCGUGCCUGGUGGUGAUGUGGGUGACGAUGGUCACCAGGACCGUGCUGAGGUAGUUGCCGAGCGCGACGGUGGUGAGCGACAGCGCGGAGCACAUGCUCCUCAUGGCGUCGGGCGCCUGGUCGUAGAAGAACUCCAGCUGCCCCACGAAGGUGAACACCUCCGCGCACCCGAUGAUGAAGUACUGCGGUAUCUGCCAGAAGAUGGAGAUGGGCACGAUGUCGUCCUCGCCGUACAGGCCGUGCCGCGCGAUGGCGCGCAGCCGCACGAUGUCCAGCACGCCCGCCGCCACCAUGGAGAAGAUGGAGACGACGAGGCCGAUGCCCAUGCGCUGCAGCUGCGUGAACCCGCGCGGCCUCCCGGUGUAGGAGCGCACCAGGGGCACGAUGGCGCGGUCGUACACGGGGACCCAGACGAUGACGCUGAUGGUGUCCACCAUGGACAGCGUCGCCGAGGGGAUCUUGAACCGGGGCCCCAUGCUCUGGUCCAGCGUGUUACCCUGCAGCACGAACAUGGUGCUCAUCUGCGAGUACACCGCCGCGAACACGAUCCCGCUGGCCCAGAUGGGCAGCAGCCGGAUCACGCUCUUGAGCUCCUCCACCUGCGUCACCGAGCACAGGCGCCACGGGCUCGCCUCCGCGCCGUCCUCGGCCGUCACCACGGCAGCCCUGUCGAGGCACGCCAGCUGCUCCGAGUGCUCCAGCUUGCGGCUCCCCUCGAUGACGGACUCCCCGUCCACCGUCUCGUGCAGCCGCGACUUGUCCGCGGGCACGGCCACGUUCCACUUGCGCGCGCACGCGACGAGCACCUGCGCGAUGCGCGUCAGCGGGCUGCCCCCGGGCUUCUGGUGCCUGUACAGCGGCGUGCCCACGAAGAAGCUGCCGACGGCGAUGGCCAUGACCACGGCGGGGAUGCCGAAGCCCCAGCCCCAGCCCACGUGCGUCUGCACGUACACCAGCACUGUGGACGCCACCAGCGCGCCGAUGUUGAUGGAGAAGUAGAACCAGUUGAAGAAGGAGCUCUUGCUCUUCUUCUCCCGCUCGUCGUUCUCGUCGAACUGGUCGGCGCCGAAGGAGGACACGCACGGCUUGAUCCCGCCCGUGCCCAGCGCGAUGAGGUACAGCGCCACGAACACCACCGCCGCCUGCGCGUCCGUCGGGUGGCACACAUCCUUGUCGCCGCACGACGUAGGCACCAGCCCCUUCACCGACGAAGCCAUCGUCAGCAGCGCCAGGCCCUGUUCAGUUCAGUUGAGUCGAUCCGUCAGUCACAGGUGGUGUCUUCUCCUCGUCGGAUGGCAAUGGGAUGGGAUUCGAGCGACGAUCUUACGAAAAUGUAGAUGAUCAUGAAGAUGGCGAUGGUCCAGAACCUCCCCAUGUACGCGUCGGCGAAGAAGGCGCCGAUGAGCGGCGUGAUGUAGCACGUCCCUUGCCAGUUGGUGACGUUGUUGGAGGCAACGGAGUUCACCUGGCCAAGUCGGGUCUUCAUGUAGUUCACCAGGUUGGUGCUCAUGCCAUAGUAAGCCAGCCUCUCGCAGCACUCGUUCGCUGAACCAUCAACCAUGUAAGUAUCAGCGGCCGUCAAUGGAGUCGACAACAAACAAACAGAGCGAGCACAAAGCAGAGCGGCAAUGGACACAAAUGACUACUGAGCACUGACCGAGGAUGUAGGGGCAGGCGCGCCAGUUGCCGGUGCCCUUCUUCACGGCGGGAUUCCCUUUCAUGUCCACGGUCCCGUCUUGGGUGUACAUGUCCUCAACUUCUCCCAUGUCGUCCGUCAGUACUCAGGUGACGCGAAGCUCAGAGUGACAGUCAGAGUGGCCUCCUCUCCUGCCCUGCAAAUACACACCGAUUCUUGUUCUUCAGCGUGUGAACGAUUCUUCUUGCAUGAGUAGUAGACUGAAACAAUGUGCAAAAGGAACCAUGGACAAUCAGAAACAAUCCCUCCAAUGACGUCUACGAUUAGCAGUUCCCCUUUUUUUUAAAAAAAACGAAACCUACGAUUAGCAUAUUAGGCAUGAACAUGAAGAAGUGCAGAAACAGACAUUUCAGUAUAGUGACUAGAUUUCUUCAAGAAUACUGCACGAUUCGGUGGAGGGGAACUCAAUUUCGCUAUUAACUACUUGGAUUUUUCAAGACAGCAAUGGGGAAGCCAGAAUCUAUAAGAAAAUAUAUCUGAAACGAACCUACCGCAAAGUAGAGUUUCAGUGACUAGACAGCAGCAACCAUUAGUGCCCAAAGUGAACUGCAGGGAAGAAAUUGAGCGCAAAAACCUUAAAACCCCGAACCGACGAAGCAGAGAACAAAAAGGAUUCACAGAAUCACUGGGAUUCUCCCAAAUCUCCACCCGUCAGGCAUCUGCUGACGCAGAAGGCCAUGCGAUGCGAGGACGGAAUCAUGAAGGCGAGGAGGCCGCUCGCACGCACCUGCUCGAAGGGCUAGGCCAAGAAGAAGCGCACGGCUUGUCUCGUAUGAAGAAGACGGAGUAGGCGGGUGGCCAAGC